rnacentral:rRNA from 1 species
AAAGGAAUUGACGGGGCCGCGACAAGCGUGGAGUAUGUGGUUAAUUCGAUGCAACGCGAAGAACCUUACCUGGUCUUGACAUCCCGGAGACCCUUAGGAAACUAGGGGGUGCUUCCAUCUGGAAGAAUCUGGAGACAGGUGCUGCAUGGCUGUCGUCAGCUCGUGUCGUGAGAUGUUGGGUUAAGUCCCGCAACGAGCGCAACCCUUGCCUUUAGUUGCCAGCAGUUCGGCUGGGCACUCUAAAGGGACUGCCGGUGUUAAACCGGAGGAAGGUGGGGAUGACGUCAAGUCCUCAUGGCCUUUAUGACCAGGGCUACACACGUACUACAAUGGCCGAUACAAAGGGCAGCGACACUGCGAGGUGAAGCCAAUCCCGUAAAAUCGGUCUCAGUCCGGAUUGGAGUCUGCAACUCGACUCCAUGAAGUUGGAAUCGCUAGUAAUCGCGCAUCAGCCAUGGCGCGGUGAAUACGUUCCCGGGCCUU